AUGUAGUCUGCAGAGAUGGGUCUUCAGUCUGCGUCUGACUUUUUUUUUUUAAACCUGUUACUUACCAUCAAUAGGUCAAUUAGAUACAUCAUGCCCUAAUGUAAUUGUAGAUUAUGUGGUUUUAGCUUUACCGUGUAUAAUCUUUCCAAGAGCUGUAAUUGGGGGAGGGGCAGGCAGAGGCAGAGUGAAAAUGACUAUUUAACCCCCCCUUCCAUGGGACACCCGCAACCGUAAAAUCAACUCUAUCCUCGGCUACAGUCACUGCCAGCCAUAUUAUAGCACUGAAAAAUAAUGCCACUAUUUCCUAUUUUGUUUACGCUUUUUUAAUUGAAAGACAGGAAAGAUAGCAACGUUUAUACGCGGUCUGUGUGAAAGAACACGUCAAAACUAAACACAAAAUGUCUUCAUCUUCUCAAACGCGAAGCGCAUCCUGGAUGCCAGCAGUCAGCCUGAGCAUUGUAGGAUUGGUGAUUCUUAUGAUGGGCUCUCCCGCCUCCGGCAUGGAUGUGCUGGUGACCCACCAUCUGAACGCCCUCAACGGCACGCUGGUCAAGCUGUCCUGCACCUUCACCUCCUGCUACAAGGUGGACCACGCCAAGUUCGCCAUGAACUGGACGUACAAGGAGUCCAGCAACGCCACGGACGAGGAGGAGGAGAUGUUCAUGACCUACAAGCACCGUAUGACCACAGUGAAGACGGCACGCUUCGGGGACCGCGUGCUGUUCGCGGGGAACCUGGACAAGAACGACGUGUCCGUCACCAUCUCCGACAUACAGCUGUCCGACAACGGCAUCUACAACUGCUACGUGCGCAAUCCCCCGGACCGCCAGCAGGGGCAUGGUGCCAUUAACCUCUCCGUCCUCACAGAACUGCCACCCCCCCGGGACUCCACCAUCGCCGUGGCGAUCGGCGCGUCCGUGGGGGGGAUCCUGGCCCUGCUCAUCCUGUCCAUGGUGGUGGUGAAGUGCAUACGCAGGAAGCAGAAACAGGAGCCGCUCUCCGAUGAGCAGAAGACCGACGAGGAGGGGAAAACGGAUGGAGAGGGGGGCGCCGAAGAGGGAACCAAGAAACUAUAACCAGCCUACGUGCUCCCAGGAUGCCUGCGCACUGACGAAGGCCCCUCUCCCUCCUGCUGACAUGUAUAUUCCUUGCCUGAAGACAAGUAUUAAACCUUGCUUGAAUCGUCGUCCUGUGACUGAAACCCUCGCCCCCCUCCCACCCCCCAACCCCCUACCUCUGCUCCUAACCUUCCCUGGCCUGGUCCCACUGCAGGGCAUUUCAGUGCCCCUCGCCACCAUCGGCCACCAUUUUGGCUCUUCCUCUCCUAGUCGCGAACCUCAAAUGGGAGAAGACAACAGAAUCCAAACCACUCGGUGGGACACGUCAAGGGUGUCAAGCUGCACUCCCCGGGACCGUUUUGAUCUGGGACUAGAUAUGGGUUAAAACAGAGAAUGCUUGUUGUUGUUACAUUUCUUAUUAAUGUUUUAUAUGAAAGAGGCUUCUUCCUGUUGUCUCUCACCAAAUAUUUGACCUCCCCCCAUGUUCUCCCAGCAGUUUCUGUAAGCAUUUAACUGCCCCAAACUAACAGAAAACAUGAAGGGAACAGCCUGCCAAUGGGUUCAGCUCCCAGGAACAAACUACUGCCUUAGCUUUCCUCAGAUUUUGCCAGAAACGGGUGCAAAUUCUACCCCAUGGGCAAUUUUAGGGGCAUGUUUUCCAAACACAUACCUAACUCACUUUUCUAUCUCUUGCUCAGAGUCUUUCCAUCCCUCUCUUUUUAUUUGUCUCUUUCUUUCCUUCACUUUGUGAGUCAAAGAGCUACUCUCUCAAACAGCUAGCAUACGUGCAAGUGUGUGUGUGUGUGUGCAUAUGUGUGUGUGCAUGCAUGUGUGUGUGUGCUUGUGCAUGUGUGUGCAUAUGUCAGUGCAUUCCUGUGUGCUCGUGCACGUGUGUGUGUAUGUGCGUGUGUUCAUUUGUGCAUGCAUAUGUGUGUGCAUGUGUGUGCAUAUGAGUGUGUUUGUGUGUGCGCGUGCAUGUGCAUGUGUGUGUGUGUGUGUGUGUAUGUGAGAGAGAGCACCAUUGUAUCCAAUGGGCACUUUCCCUCAUGUUGGGAAAUAGCACUUGCACAACUGAGUACUGAUGGCUGUAAAAUGCUUCCAGGAAAAAAAAAAACAUCACAGCAGCAAGGCCUUACAGCUUCCGUGUGAUUGGAAGAAAAAAAUCACAUGAUCAGAGAGAAGUUCUGCUCCUCUGUUCUUGUCUUAUCAACACCCAAUAGAUGUCAGUGAUGAUAGGGCUACGCCCUGUUGCCUGGUGGCUAGGGUACAUGACUGGGACCCAUAGGGUUGGUAGUUCAAAACACCAAACACCCUGUGUAGCCGCCAAAACAUCAGUACAGCUGUUGGGCUGUUUGAUGAUGUUUUUCCCAGAAGCAUUUCACAUGCCAUCUAACAUUAGCCUUUUAUAACACCGCAUUCAGUAGAAAAACACUAAGACUAUAGAUUGUCUAUAUGCCUCAUGGUGACGGUCAUUCUUAUUACAAAAAAAAAUUGCUAUUUAUUGUACAGUCCUGAAUCGACACUGUUUCGUUUGCCUGCAUUGCUUGCAUACAUACACUAUAGCCCAAUACAUGUAUUAGUGUUGCUGUCCGUACCAUACAUUUGCAUGCAGUUAAAUCUGAAGUAUUACUUUGGCACACAUAAUGACAGGCAUGCCACUGUCCAGUCUGGAUUGUAAAUAUAUUCCAGGGAAUCGGUAAAUGAGCCAUCAUCUGUCGUAUGCUCAGGCCCCAUCACAAAAUAUGACAUUUCGUCUCUCACUUUACCUCCACACACACACACCCACACAUGCACACCUGCUUGCACACACACACACACACACACAUGCACACCCGCUUACACACACACACACACACACACACAGACAAAUCUUUAUUAAUAUUUUUUUAAAUGUAAAAGUAUGUAUGUCCCCCUGAUACCAAUACACUUUCAUGUACAAUGGCACACACACACACACACACACACACAUGCGCACACACAUACACAUACCAAUACACACACACACUUUCAGGGAGACAAAAAAGUGAAAAAAUUUGUACGAAUACAGUAGAUUCGAUUAAAUUAAAUAGAUUUCUACUUUGUAAGGGAAAAACAAAGCAGUAGUUUAUAAAGUUAUGUUGUUUCUAUUGUUUAAUAUUGUCCUGAUUGUCUUAACUACUAACUGUUGUUGUUUAAAUGUAAGAGAUUUUUAACCUCUGCACAUUUUCCUCGGAAAUAUUUAUACUAUGACUGACACAAAAUUUAAAAUAGAAUUGCAGAUGACAUUGCAGAUAUUAUGUCAAUUCUAUUAGCUUGACAUAUUAGCUGGUGAAUGGAGUCAACCUAUCGGUGCAAUUAGUGAACCGCCAGUCAGUAUCUACUGCCAGAUAUUUUUUUAUGAAAUAAAAGAGGUAAUAUUUCUAGGGCUUAAAAUAAUUGCCAUUUAUUUAGGGCUGUUUAAGACACCUUCAAGGACACUUUAUCAGUUGUUUUUCCAAAAAAAGAAUUGAACCCAGGGAAUAAUUAUGGUUGGGCCAGACAUUUCCCAAUCACCCUUCAAAGUGCAGCAUAAUCUGUUUAUGCUUGGUGUCAACCACUUUCCUAUGGUUUCCUGGGUAUAUCCUUUCAAUGCUCAGAUACCUUAAUAGACAAGGUAAAAUCCAGCAAGGUAUAUGUUACAAAGUGACAACUGUAUGCUUUUUCUUUUUUUAAUUGUCCUAUAUAUUCUUGAAAGAACUGCCUGUGUUCUGCUGAAUAUUCCAACUGAAACCAGUCUGAGUUGGUCAAGUUAGUUUAAGCGGUAUUCUGCUCAACCAGCUGUUCACCAACUGACCAGCCUGUACCUGUAGUCAGCUUACUCUAGCAGCCUAGCCAGCUUGAACCAGCUUUGACCAGCCACAGACCAACAGCUCGUCUUUGCUAGAAUUUUCAGCAGGGUAGUAUAUCAAAAUAUGCACUCGGUGAGCGCUUUAUUAGGUAGAGCUGUACACCAGCCUGUUAAUAUUUAAUCAGCCAAUCAUGUGACAGCAACUAAAUGCAUACAAGCAUGCAGACAUAGUCAAGAGGUUCAGCUGCUUUUCAGCCCAAAUGCCAGAAUGGGGAAGAGAUGUGAUGAUUUUGACCAUGGAAUGAUUGUUGGCACCAGAGAGGGUGACUAUUUGAGAAACUGCUGACCUGCAAAGUCUCUAGAGUUUGCAGAGAAUGAUGUGAAAAA